AUUUCUUGACCUUUUGGCUAAGAGCAAGUGUCGUAUCUGUUCUUACCAGUUUAGUGCCUGGUCGGUCCCCUGAGGACAGUGACAGCAACAAAAAUAGAUGCUCCCAGCUGCUUGUGAGAAGUGGAGCGCUCUGGGACCGAGCUGUGGGCUCAGUUCUAUUGUGUCGGGAUGGGUCUGAGCAGUUUCU